rnacentral:rRNA from 1 species
AUUCCAGCUCCAAUAGCGUAUAUUAAAGUUGUUGCAGUUAAAAAGCUCGUAGUUGGAUUUGUGGUUUACGCAAGGCUUCCGUCCCUCUUGGGUUUCGGUGUUGCCUGGCGUUGCCAUCCUUGGGUGGAAUCUGUGUGGCAUUAGGUUGUCGUGCAGGGGAUGCCCAUCGUUUACUGUGAAAAAAUUAGAGUGUUCAAAGCAGGCUUAUGCCGUUGAAUAUGUUAGCAUGGAAUAAUAAUAUAGGACCUUGGUACUAUUUUGUUGGUUUGCGCACCGAGGUAAUGAUUAACAGGGUCAACUGGGGAUAUUCGUAUUCCCCUGUCAGAGGUGAAAUUCUUGGAUUUUUGGAAGACGAACUACUGCGAAAGCAUUUAUCAAGGAUGUUUUCAUUAAUCAAGAACGAAAGUUAGGGGAUCGAAGAUGAUUAGAUACCAUCGUAGUCUUAACCAUAAACUAUGCCGACAAGGGAUUGGUGGAGUAUCGUUACGUCUCCAUCAGCACCUUAUGAGAAAUCAAAAGUCUUUGGGUUCCGGGGGGAGUAUGGUCGCAAGGCUGAAACUUAAAGAAAUUGACGGAAGGGCACCACCAGGAGUGGAGCCUGCGGCUUAAUUUGACCCAACACGGGAAAACUUACCAGGUCCAGACAUAGUGAGGAUUGACAGAUUGAGAGCUCUUUCUUGAUUCUAUGGGUGGUGGUGCAUGGCCGUUCUUAGUUGGUGGAGUGAUUUGUCUGGUUAAUUCCGUUAACUAACGAGACCCCUGCCUGCUAAAUAGCCCAGUGAGUGAUUUUUCACUGACUGUUGGCUUCUUAGAGGGACGUGCAUUCUAUUAGAUGCAGGAAGAUAGGGGCAAUAACAGGUCCGUGAUGCCCUUAGAUGUCCUGGGCCGCACGCGCGCUACACUGAUGAAUUCAACGAGUUUUUUCCUUGGCCGAGAGGCCUGGGCAAUCUUUUGAACGUUCAUCGUGAUAGGGAUAGAUUAUUGCAAUUAUUAAUCUUGAACGAGGAAUUCCUAGUAAACGCAGAUCAUCAAUCUGCAUUGAUUACGUCCCUGCCCUUUGUACACACCGCCCGUCGCACCUACCGAUUGAAUGGUCCGGUGAAGCCUCGGGAUUGUGGUCAGUUUGCUUUAUUGCGAGUUGAUUGCGAGAACUUGUCUAAACCUUAUCAUUUAGAGGAAGGUGAAGUC